GUGUGCGUGUGUGUGUUGUGUGUGAGCAGAGGCAGCAGUCACUCACUUUGCUUACGGACUCGCUCGCUGUGAUAAGUUCACCACACACAGCAACAACAACAACAACAACAGCAACAACACCAACAACAAUAAGAAGAACGACCACAGCAACAAAAACCCCACGAGAAUAGAGCCAAAAACAAUGCGCAACGCAAAUGUUAACUGUUAACUGCAAAAGCGCACAUCACAAGAAAGUUGGCAGCCCUGUGUGCCAUCACAUCACACACACACACACACAUGCACGCACACAUAUCUAAUGGCAAAUUGCUCGGCUUGUGUAAAAGACUACAACAAGUUGCAGCUGGACAAUGGACAGGAGUGCGUAUGAGGAAUAUGGCACAAUGAGAGUGCAUUGAAUUAAACGUGCGGCUCGCACGUCUCUGUCUCUUUCCCGCUGCUGCCGUAUUAAUUGUUCUGUUCGCAAACCAGUAUUUUAUACACGACGAAUAUCCCAGUUUUAUGUGCCCAGUAUUUCCUGCUCCCUGCAGGCAAUGCAACAUAACUACAGCCGUCAGCUUUUGGCUCAGACGGCGACUGAAGCUCGUGAAGUGCGACUCGUACAAUUUGUCAAAUGUUACAUUAAUUAGCAGAAAAUCUCAUUAAAUUGAUUUCCUUUUGCCAGUUAAACUUUAAGCAAAGUUCAAGUGCAUUCAAAAUAGAUAAAUAAAUGAAUCCACUGCAAAUUGUUUAAAUAAUCUAACUUACUGUAAAUAAGCUACGCUUUUCUAUCAAAUAAAUUGUGUAAAAACAAAACAACAAAAAACCCAAAAAAAAAUUUCUAAUGCAACAACUACUUAAGAAAAAUCUAUUUAAUUUUCUAUUGCAAAUUAAAACAACAACAAACAAAAACCAAUUUAAACAACGAAUAAACAAACAACGCCGUUUACAACUGACAACAAAUCUCAAAUGAUGAAUACAUUGCUGACCACUGAAAUUCUUUUGAAUAAAUAACGCAUGCUAAUCGCUAAAUGGCAAAACAAAGAUGCCUUCGCCUCACACACCACUACAAGAAAAACAACGCCAACAGCAGCAGCAACAACAACAGCAGGUGCAACAACCAUUUGGACUUCAACAGGCAACGCAGACAACACUUCAAAUAGCCACAACAAUAACAACAACAAAAACAACAACAAGGCCAGACAGCGUUUCAGAGCGCUGACAAAAUGAAACAAAAGCAAAAUCGAGCCGCAGUUAACAAAUUUUGCUCCUAAUAUGAAGGCGAUCUAAAAAUACCAAAAAAAAAAAAAGGAAACUGACCUUGAAGAGGUCAAAGUGCAGCACACACACACACAAACACACACACGCACACGCACACAAAUACACACAUACAUUAUCACAAUCUCAUACAAUACAACACACACACACACACACAUCCACAUCUGAGCGAAGGGAAACUGCAGAACUGAUCAGCGCCAUUAAAAUUAAAAAGUUUCAACGAAUUUCUAAAAGCCUAAAAAAAAAGAUUAGAAAAACAAAAGAAAAAUAAGCCAGCAGAACCGACAUCUUAUAAAGUUCUUAAGGAAACACAAAAAACUAAAAAAA